rnacentral:rRNA from 1 species
AAACGCUUGAAGUCAGUCGCGCCGUUCAGGACUCAGCCUUGCUUUGCUUGGUGUACUUCCUGUUUGGUGGGUCAGCAUCAAUUUUGGUCGGUGGAUAAAGGCUUAGAGAAUGUGGCAUCUUCGGGUGUGUUAUAGCUCUGGGUCGCAUACAUCGGCUGGGAUUGAGGAACUCAGCACGCCGCAAGG